rnacentral:lncRNA from 1 species
AAACUUAGCCCCAGCCCAGCUCACCUCUGCUCUUCGUAGCUGUGGCUUCUUUGGAUUUGGUUUUAGCUGUCUCUUUGUGGUUAUCUGAAGGCAAGGAAUUCCAUCUCUUCUGGGCUGAAACAGGCACCACAGGGAUAGGGGGCAGCUUCAGGCGCCACUCAGGUCCCAGGGAGUCCAUGAGAGCUCUGGUUAUUCUGGAAGGCAAGGACGAAGUACAGGUGUCUGGCCAGGCCAAGCUGUUCCUCUCUCACACCCGAGGAGUGGAGGCCCCUUUACAAGGUCAGAACAUCUCCCCACCCCCACCCCAAGCUCUAAACGAGACACAGGAAUCUGCUGUCUAUCAACUCUUUCUCAGAUCCAACACCACGGGGGCACUUCCCUUAGCAUGGUUGCUACACGUGAAAAUUUAUCUAUCUAUCUAUCUAUCUAUCUAUCUAUCUAUCUAUCUAUCUAUCUAUCUAUCUAUCUAUCUAUCUAUGUUUUUCGAGACAGGGUUUCUCUGUAUAGCCCUGGCUAUCCUAGAACUCACUUUGUAGACCAGGCUGGCCUCGAACUCAGAAAUCUGCCUGUCUCUGCCUCCCAAGUGCUAGGAUUAAAGGCGUGUGCCACCACCGCCAGGCGUGAAAUUUUAUUUACUUUUUUGGAUAUUUUCUUUAUUUACAUUUCAAAUGUUGUCCCCUUUCCUGGUUUCCCCUCUGGAAAACACCCUUUCCCUAUCCCCUUUCACCUGCUCGCCAACCCACCCACACCCGCUUCCUGGCCCUGGCAUUCCCCUACACUGGGGCAUAGAGCCUUCACAGGACAAAGGGCCUCUCCCCGCAUUGAUGUCCAACAAUGCCAUCCUCUGCUGCAUAUGCAACUGGAGCCAUGAGUCCCACCAUGUGUGCUCUUUGGUUGGUGGUUUAGUCCCUGGGAGUUCUGGGGGUACUGGUUAGUUCAUAUUGUUGUUCCUCCUAUGGGGCUGCAAACCCCUUCAGCUCUUUAGGUCAUUUUCUCUAGCUCCUCCAUUGGGGACGUUAUGCUCAGUCCAAUGGGUGGCUGUGAGCAUCCACUUCUGUAUUUGUCAGGCACUGGCAGAGCCUCUCAGGAGACAGCUAUAUCAGGCUCCUGUCAGCAAGCACUUGUUGGCAUUCUCAACAGUGUCUGGGUUUGGUGGUUGUAUUUGGGGUGGAUCCCCAGGCGAGUCAAGUCUCUAGAUGGCCUUUCCUUCAGUCUCUGCUCCACACUUUGUCUCUAUUAACUCCUUCCAUGGGUGUUUUGUUCCCCCCUUCUAAGAUGGAUAGAAGUAUACACACUAUGGUCUUCCUUCUUCUUGAGUUUCUUGUGGUUUGUGAAUUGUACCUUGGGUAUUCCGAGCUUCUGGGCGCUACAUUUGAAUCUUAAGGUGUUCUGCUACUGGUUAAGGAUAAACUUUGCACCUUCAAGAAGAAAUCCCAUUUUCAAAAACGUAUUUUCCCAAUAAAACUAGUUC